GAUGAACGCUGGCGGCGUGCUUAACACAUGCAAGUCGAACGGAAAGGCCCUGCUUUUGGGGUGUGCUCGUGUGGCGCGCGGGUGAGUAACGCGAGAGUAACCUGCCCUUCACUGUGGGAUGCCUUCAAGAAACUGGGGAUAAUAGCAGAUAUGCGCUCCUGCCGCGUGGUGGGGGUGGGAAGGUUUCGGCGGUUGGGGAUGGACUCGCGGCUUAUCAGCUUGUUGGUGGGGUAGUGGCUUACCAAGGCUUUGACGGGUAGCCGGCCUGAGAGGGUGACCGGCCACACUGGGACUGAGAUACGGCCCAGACUCCUACGGGAGGCAGCAGUGGGGAAUAUUGCACAAUGGGCGGAAGCCUGAUGCAGCAACGCCGCGUGAGGGAUGACGGCCUUCGGGUUGUAAACCGCUUUCGCCUGGGACGAAGCGUGAGUGACGGUAAUUGGUAAAGAAGCACCGGCUAACUACGUG
rnacentral:rRNA from 1 species